GACGAACGCUGGCGGCGUGCUUAACACAUGCAAGUCGAACGGAAAGGCCCUGCUUUUGUGGGGUGCUCGAGUGGCGAACGGGUGAGUAACACGUGAGUAACCUGCCCUUGACUUUGGGAUAACUUCAGGAAACUGGGGCUAAUACCGGAUAGGAGCUCCUGCUGCAUGGUGGUGGUUGGAAAGUUUCGGCGGUUGGGGAUGGACUCGCGGCUUAUCAGCUUGUUGGUGGGGUAGUGGCUUACCAAGGCUUUGACGGGUAGCCGGCCUGAGAGGGUGACCGGCCUCAUUGGGACUGAGCUACGGCCCAGCCUCCUACGGGAGGCAGCAGUGGGGAAUAUUGCCCAAUGGGCCGAAGCCUGAUGCAGCAACGCCGCGUGCGGGAUGACGGCCUUCGGGUUGUAAACCGCUUUCGCCUGUGACGAAGCGUGAGUGACGGUACUGGGUAAAGAAGCACCGGCUAACUACGUG
rnacentral:rRNA from 1 species